GCUAAUACCGCGUAAGACCACGAUGUCGCAUGGCGUCGAGGUAAAAGGAGCAAUCCGCUAGAGGAGGGGCUCGCGGCCCAUUAGAUAGUUGGUGAGGUAACGGCUCACCAAGUCAACGAUGGGUAGCCGGGCUGAGAGGCUGAACGGCCACACUGGGACUGAGACACGGCCCAGACUCCUACGGGAGGCAGCAGUGGGGAAUAUUGGGCAAUGGGGGAAACCCUGACCCAGCAACGCCGCGUGAGGGAAGAAGGUUCUUGGAUUGUAAACCUCUGUCCUUGGGGACGAAAAAAAUGACGGUACCCAGGGAGGAAGCCCCGGCUAACUACGUGCCAGCAGCCGCGGUAAUACGUAGGGGGCGAGCGUUGUCCGGAAUUACUGGGCGUAAAGGGAGCGCAGGCGGUUAAUUAAGUUGAUUGUGCAAGCCCCGGGCUUAACCCGGGAAUCGCAGUCAAAACUGAUAGACUUGAGUACGGGAGAGGAAAGCGGAAUUCCUAGUGUAGCGGUGAAGUGCGUAGAUAU
rnacentral:rRNA from 1 species